GUAUAAGGUUUAUAGGCGCAUGGGCCUAAUGAUACAUUCUGUUACAUACAAUGGGGUAUAUGAAAAACAUAGACCUGGAAAUGCAAGGAAAGCCAGCUAACGCGAGCAGUCCUCCCGUCCAAGUUGCCUCGGAAAGUCAAUCCAAGUCUACAAAAAGUGCACAGGUGGAGAGAUGAGGAUGGUGGGUGUGCACAUGCCCCCGAGGGGGCCAGCGACAACCACACCAAGUUCAUUCAAUAAUGAUCCUUCCGCAGGUUCACCUACGGAAA
rnacentral:misc_RNA from 1 species